rnacentral:rRNA from 1 species
GAUGAACGCUGGCGGCGUGCCUAAUACAUGCAAGUCGAGCGAACGGACGAGAAGCUUGCUUCUCUGAUGUUAGCGGCGGACGGGUGAGUAACACGUGGAUAACCUACCUAUAAGACUGGGAUAACUUCGGGAAACCGGAGCUAAUACCGGAUAAUAUUUUGAACCGCAUGGUUCAAAAGUGAAAGACGGUCUUGCUGUCACUUAUAGAUGGAUCCGCGCUGCAUUAGCUAGUUGGUAAGGUAACGGCUUACCAAGGCAACGAUGCAUAGCCGACCUGUGAGGGUGAUCGGCCACACUGUAACUAAGACACGGUCCAGACUCCUACGGUAGGCAGCAGUAGGGAAUCUUCCGCAAUGGGCGAAAGCCUGACGGAGCAACGCCGCGUGAGUGAUGAAGGUCUUCGGAUCGUAAAACUCUGUUAUUAGGGAAGAACAUAUGUGUAAGUAACUGUUCACAGCUUGACGGUACCUAAUCAGAAAGCCACGGCUAACUACGUG